AUUGAACGCUGGCGGCAUGCCUUACACAUGCAAGUCGAACGGUAACGGGUCCUUCGGGAUGCCGACGAGUGGCGAACGGGUGAGUAAUAUAUCGGAACGUGCCCAGUAGUGGGGGAUAACUGCUCGAAAGAGCAGCUAAUACCGCAUACGACCUGAGGGUGAAAGGGGGGGAUCGCAAGAACUCUUGCUAUUGGAGCGGCCGAUAUCAGAUUAGCUAGCUGGUGGGGUAAAGGCCUACCAAGGAAACGAUCUGUAGUUGGUCUGAGAGGACGAUCAGCCACACUGGGACUGAGACACGGCCCAGACUCCUACGGGAGGCAGCAGUGGGGAAUUUUGGACAAUGGGCGCAAGCCUGAUCCAGCAAUGCCGCGUGCAGGAAGAAGGCCUUCGGGUUGUAAACUGCUUUUGUCAGGGAAGAAAUCUUCUGGGCUAAUACCCCGGGAGGAUGACGGUACCUGAAGAAUAAGCACCGGCUAACUACGUGCCAGCCGCCGCCGUAA
rnacentral:rRNA from 1 species